rnacentral:rRNA from 1 species
UGGGGAAUAUUGGACAAUGGACCAAAAGUCUGAUCCAGCAAUUCUGUGUGCACGAUGAAGUUUUUCGGAAUGUAAAGUGCUUUCAGUUGGGACGAAGUAAGUGACGGUACCAACAGAAGAAGCGACGGCUAAAUACGUGCCAGCAGCCGCGGUAAUACGUAUGUCGCAAGCGUUAUCCGGAUUUAUUGGGCGUAAAGCGCGUCUAGGCGGUUUGGUAAGUCUGAUGUGAAAAUGCGGGGCUCAACUCCGUAUUGCGUUGGAAACUGUCAAACUAGAGUACUGGAGAGGUGGGCGGAACUACAAGUGUAGAGGUGAAAUUCGUAGAUAUUUGUAGGAAUGCCGAUGGGGAAGCCAGCCCACUGGACAGAUACUGACGCUAAAGCGCGAAAGCGUGGGUAGCAAACAGG